CCAGACACUAUCAAUUUAGGAUCCGACCAGUCGCAGCAGAGAACUUUAUCCACGUGACCUGUGAGAUCGUACAGCGGCACUUUGGGACUACGAGGGAAUAAGAAGCAUAUUAAGAUUCUGUUAAUUUUUACUGUCAUUUAAUGCGUCAAAGUACCUGAAGACCUCGGAUCGUAUAGCUUCAGACGGUUAUCAGACGACGGCGCUAUCACAGCGCGUGCCAACGGUGAAUAGUCUACGUCGAAAAAGGGCUCAUUGCCGGGGAUUUCGUGCUUGAUACCGCCCAGUUCGGAGUCCCAAAUCUUCAGAGUGUGGUCCCAGGACGCCGUAAUGAUCUCCAUCUUAUCAGACCACACGAGACCGCUGAUCGCACCUUUGUGUCCUGCUAAGGUACGCUGCGGAAGCUGCGCCCAACGCGUUUAGGCACAUCAAUUAAUCAUUCUUUACAUGUACACUUAUAAAGCUCAAUCAAAGUAUUCUUAAAUUUACAGACUUUAGUCUACAUACUCUCGUUUUACUCCGUUUCGCUUUUAUCCUUUUCGACGCGGGUUCCGUAUUUUCUGUUUCAUUCUGCGUAGCUUGAGAGGAAAUUUCGUGAUUAAAUUUUAAUUUUAAUUAAAAAUGUCUUAUGAAAAAAAAGAGCUUACAAAUUUGAUAUUAGUUAGUCUACUUACAUGUUGACCAUAUUUUCAGCAUCGUGUCCCAGCCGCCAGUGGCCAUUUGUGUUUGGUCGUGAUUCAAACCAAGCGCCAGAAUACUCCUCUCAUGUCCUUCGCAGAUGUACACGCAUUCCACGGAAUUUUUUACGAUAUUCCAAUUCCAUAUCAUGGCCGUUUGAUCCUCUGACGCGCUAUAGAGGUAUACAUUCAAUUGAUUAUUAUUAUUAACUAUAUAUUGCUACAUUCAACGAAAUUGACUUUAUCAUUCUUGAAGCUACCUGACGAAGGAAGCACUGUCGUCAUUCAGAGAGAGCCAUGCCACUGCUUUGAUGGCAGAUAUGUGUCCAGGAAUUACUAACCGAUGUUUGCCCCUUGUCGUCCAAAUGUGCAGAGUAUUGUCAUAAGAGCCAGUUAAAAUCCUGAAUAAAACAAUUUAAAAUAUUAA